rnacentral:rRNA from 1 species
CCUACGGGGGGCUGCAGUCGAGAAUCUUCCGCAAUGGGCGCAAGCCUGACGGAGCGACGCCGCGUGGAGGACGAAGGCCUUAGGGUUGUAAACUCCUGUCGAGGGUUAUGAAGAGCGUCUGGCGAACAGCCUGACGAGUGACGUAAGCCCUGGAGGAAGCACCGGCUAACUCUGUGCCAGCAGCCGCGGUAAUACAGAGGGUGCUAACGUUGUUCGGAAUUACUGGGCAUAAAGCGCACGUAGGCGGCGCGUCAAGUGCGGGGUGAAAGCCCACGGCUUACCCGUGGAACAGCUUUGCAUACUGACGUGCUGGAGUGCGGUAGAGGAGAGCGGAACUCUUGGUGGAGCGGUGAAAUGCGUAGAUAUCAAGAGGAACACCAAAGGCGAAGGCAGCUCUCUGGGCCGUUACUGACGCUGAGGUGCGAAAGCCAGGGGAGCAAACGGGAUUAGAUACCCCGGUAGUC